rnacentral:rRNA from 1 species
GGACUACUGGGGUUUCUAAUCCCGUUUGCUCCCCUGGCUUUCGCACCUCAGCGUCAGUAACCAGCCAGUGCAUCGCUUUCGCCGCCGGAGUUCCUUCCGAUAUCAACGCAUUUCACCGCUCCACCGGAAAUUCCAUGCACCCCUCUGGUCCUCAAGCAUCGCAGUAUCGGACGCAGUUCCUCGGUUAGGCCGAGGGAUUUCACAUCCGACUUACGACACCGCCUACGUGCGCUUUAUGCCCAGUGAUUCCGAACAACGCUCGCCACCUUCGUCUUACCGCGGCUGCUGGCAC